rnacentral:rRNA from 1 species
AACGAACGCUGGCGGCGUGCCUAACACAUGCAAGUCGGACGAGAAAGUCCUUCGGGAUGAGUACAGUGGCGCACGGGUGAGUAAUGUAUAGGAACGUGCCUCUAAGAGGGGGAUAACUGCUGGAAACGGCAGCUAAUACCGCAUAACCUCGCAAGAGUAAAGGUGGCCUCUACUUGUAAGCUACCACUUAGAGAGCGGCCUAUAUCCCAUUAGCUAGUUGGUAAGGUAACGGCUUACCAAGGCAACGAUGGGUAGCUGGUCUGAGAGGACGAUCAGCCACACUGGAACUGAGACACGGUCCAGACUCCUACGGGAGGCAGCAGUGGGGAAUUUUGCGCAAUGGGCGAAAGCCUGACGCAGCAACGCCGCGUGAGUGAAGAAGGCUCUUGGGUUGUAAAGCUCUUUCGACUGAGAAGAAGGGUUCCACCGCAAAUAGUUGUGGAAUUUGACGGUAUCAGGAGAAGAAGCACCGGCUAACUCCGUGCCAGCAGCCGAC